GAGAGCUAUAGAAUCAGGCAGGAGAAGAAAUACGCUGAGAAAAAAAAUCGCUAGUAGUCAUCGGAACUUUGCACAAAUCUUUCUAAAAACCGAAAAGAUUACAAUGACAAAAAAAGGGUGGUGGUAGGAGUGGGUUGGGGAGGUGGUGGUAGGAGUGGGAUGGGGAGGUGGUGGUAGGAGUGGGUUGGGAAGGUGGUGGUAGGAGUGGGUUGGGGAGGUGGUGGUAGGAGUGGGUUGGGAAGGUGGUGGUAGGAGUGGGUUGGGGAGGUGGUGGUAGGAGUGGGUUGGGGAGGUGGUGGUAGGAGUGGGUUGGGAAGGUGGUGGUAGGAGUGGGUUGGGGAGGUGGUGGUAGGAGUGGGUUGGGGAGGUGGUGGUAGGAGUGGGUUGGGAAGGUGGUGGUAGGAGUGGGUUGGGGAGGUGGUGGUAGGAGUGGGUUGGGGAGGUGGUGGUAGGAGUGGGUUGGGAAGGUGGUGGUAGGAGUGGGUUGGGGAGGUGGUGGUAGGAGUGGGUUGGGGAGGUGGUGGUAGGAGUGGGUUGGGGAGGUGGUGGUAGGAGUGGGUUGGGGAGGUGGUGGUAGGAGUGGGUUGGGGAGGUGGUGGUAGGAGUGGGUUGGGGAGGUGGUGGUAGGAGUGGGUUGGGGAGGUGGUGGUAGGAGUGGGUUGGGGAUGUGUGGGGUUGGGGAGGUGGUGGUAGGAGUGGGUUGGGGGGUUGGGGAGGUGG